CAGUUUUUGAGGACACAAUUAUAGGCUACGUUGAUCUCCAGAAGCUGUGUACAAAUACAACUCUCAGUCCUGAUGGAAGAGAUGAAUUGGGUUGUCGAUGAAACCAUGCCCACCUUGUUGUUAGAUAAUUACGAAGGCCAUGAUAUACAUUGAUAGUUCUGUCCCAUGAUAUACAUUGAUAGUUCUAUCCGGUCAUGGUAAAUUAUUUAUUCUGAAGGAAAAUGUGAGCUAUCCCUUUCUGUUUUAUGUCCGUUGUAUGUUUCAUCGAUAAAAUCAACAGCAUGAAGAGGAAGGCUAUAACAACUUGUGAGCUGCAUAAUUUUGUUGCCCCUAGGAAUCUUUAAUAACAUUUGUAGAUUUAUUUUGAAUACUUUAAGUUCUAGUGAAAAUAUUGCAGUUAUUAAUUUGCAAUGAGCAUUUCUGGGUGUUGUCCAUGGAUAUCAUUUUGGGUCGGUUUGUCAUAAAGUUUUAAUAAAUUAUUAAUUGGGUGAGACUAUUUGAAUCUAUUAAAAUACUUCACAAACCCACCUUUUCAUAAAAUAUUUUAUUACUAAAACACCCAUAAUGUAAAUUACUAAUGUAGACCAACUAAUAUGAUUCAAUAAAAAAAAAUUAUUCUGUAAAUUCGUUAUAAACUAUUUGAAAAUCUGUGAAUAAUCAACCUUUUUUUUCCCCCUUAAGUCUUAAAUUGUAUUUUUUAUGGAAUAUCAGAAGUAUUUGCUGUGUGUUUACUUUGGGACACUUGAAAAGUCUUCAAUUUGGUUCAACUGAAAACAAACAUGAAAACCAAACAAUAAAAAGGUUAUACACAGUACAAGAUCAUGUUAAGUCUGCAGGAAGUAGGCUUCAUUGCAUGCUGGAAAGCUCCAGACUAUAAACUCAAUCUUGCCUGCAAACAAUGCACUCCACACCAGAGAGGAAUCCUCUUCUUGUAUACUCCAAAACAAAGUCAAGUCUCUUUUGCAUAAUUAUUUUUUAGUUUAUUUAGUAAAAUAAUGUAAUGUAAUAUAAUUUAAUCAUGAAAGAGGUAUAUUUGGUAUUUAGGUGGGUGCGUAGAAUAAAAACUUAAUUUUUAAAUUUUAAUAGUGGAUUUAUUGAGAAAAUAAAUAUAAAGUAUUUUGGUGGAUUCAAAUAGCCACAUUCUUAUCAAUUAUGAAUUUGAAAAGUUUUAGAAUCAAGGCAUCUAAUGUAUUCAUAUCACAUAGUACUCACGGUAGUUACCUGGGUUAAUUAGUGAGAUCAAAUAAUUCCACCCAUAUUAAUUAUGAAUUUAAAAAUUUUCAAAACCAAUGCAUUUGAUGUGGUAGUAUUAUAGUAUUCUCCGCGAUACUCAACGAAAUUAAUUAGUGGGUUUAAUUAACCCACCUUAUUAAUUAUGAAUUUGAAAAAUUUCAAGACCAGCACAACUGGUGCGGCAGUAUCAUAGUACCACGACUCACGGUGGUGACAGUACCCUCCCACGGUACUGACCGGGAUCCGAUUUCCCGGAUGUGCAUUUUUCAAUUACUAAUGAGCACACUUAAAAUUUGUUUUCUUUUGAACCAAAUCUUGCUCCCCGUUACCUAUUGAUUAAGAUUAUAGUGUAGCCUUGAGCUUAACUGAUUGCCUGUUGAGUCUCCUAUAGGAAUUGGAAUUUGUUGUCCUGAAUAGUUAAAUGUACAAACCCGCCACUGCACUAAGGUCUCAGUGGAAGUCUCCCACUACUUAAAAACAAUAAUAAUAUUGCUGCCAUAAACUAUUGAUAAAACUUUAGAUGCAAUUUAAUAAAAAUAUAAAUUAAUAAAAAUAAAUUAUGUGAAUCGUGUAGUAUUUUUAUCCAACAUCACGUGAUAUUUUUUAUACCAAUAAAUCAAUGUACUUUUUUUUUUUUGUUAAAAGUCAAAAUUUUCUUAUAAUUUUAGCCUUCACUUAAACUAAUUAAAGUUGAUAGAUGAUUGUAUAAAAAAUAAUACAUAAAGAAAUAAUCGAAAUACCUUGCUCUUCCUUAAAUAAAGUACCACCCGCUGUUGUUGUUUAGAAGAGGAAUGCUUUGGAUCUGGCCCAUCCAAGAUUUGCUUUAUCCAAUUUCAAACGCUGCUCGCACUUUAGAACUUCACCUGGGUCCAAGUCCCAACUAGACUUCAUCAUUUCCAAAAAGAGUUGGACUAUUGGCACCCUCUAAAUAUCUCUCAACACGUCUUUUUUUUAUUAACUCCAUUAAAAUAUUUAAAAAUAUUAUCAGAUUCUUUUAACACUCUUUUAAUGACAAAAAUACCCUUAAUUUAAAUUUAUUAGUAUAAACUCUAUUGUUUAAUUUUUGAUCCCUUGAUUGUGGAUAAAAUUUAAUUUUUGAUCCCUUAUUUAAUUUAUUAAUAUAAAAUUAUCUAAUAUUAUCAUUAACUAGCUAGAUCAUUUUUUUUUCUCUAUAAAAUCUUCUAAAAUCAAUUUCCAUACAAUCAAUACAUGCGUAUGAAAAAUAGGGGAAUUCCUCUUUCCCAGUUAUAAUAAUUUUCCAAAAUUGACUCAGUAAGAUUGCCAUGUCCAUGCCCUGUACCAUAGUGGGUACCACUGUGUCAUAGGGACAUUUUCGAGAAAAUCUGACGUUACUAGAUUUCUAUACUUUCUUAAUGCAUCUCUUAAACUUCUCUUGGCAUUUAAUAUUUGUCAACCCUUUCUUAUCGACGCAUUCAUCGUGGAUCUUGUAGCAAGCAUCCAGAUCAUCACAUGGUUUCUCCCUAGGACAACCGGACCACCCUACACCACAAUACUUCCCGUACCGAAUCCCAACAGAAUUACAGUUCUCUGCAACACAAGUUCUGCUGCAUUUGACCUGAGUAUCAUUGAUGGCACCGGCGGACUCGGAGAAGACGAUGAUGAAUACAAAGGCCAAUGUUGAGAUGACACGUGUCCGAAACGGGACGAAUGCACCAAGUAGCAUUUUUUCUCUCAUUUUCCGUCUUCUCCGCGGUCGACUAGCUAGAUCAAUUGUUUAUUUUGUGGUAACUUCAAACACCAAAUCCUUAAAGGCGUGUUUGGCAGCCCUCAUUAUAUAGUAUUAGGACUCCUCAUAGCAUUAAAGUCUUAGAAUAUCAUGUAUGACUACUCCUCACUGUAUUUUAAUGUGGUCAAAAGAAGCUUGUAAUGCGGUCAAACCCGCAUAAAAUAAACCCGUGUGAGAGUCGGGUUUACGCGGGUUGGUAUUUGUUUUGAGACCAAAAAAAUUUCGCUUUCAUUUUCGUUCUCCUUCUCUGUGUAGUGGCUCGCCUGCACCUCCACACAUCCACUCCACAAAUCUCAACUCCACACCACCACUGCCUCAAACACCACCAGCCCCAUGUGAUCUGCCUUUAUACCGCCAUUGUCUCACGAUACCACCGUGACACCACCAGCUCCAUUGUCUUCGCGAUCUACCUCCGCGACGUGCGAGACCACUGUGCGGCAUGCCUUCGCGACACUCCACCACCAUGCUCCACUGCCUUCAUUAUGCCGUCGUGCCUUCGUCAUUUUUGAAACUGUGAGGGUCUUAUCUUUGUGUUAGUAUGUUAGAUCAUGCGUGCUUUUUUUGUGUGCUUGGUUUGAUUAUUAUUCUUUUAAAGAAAAAGGAUCAUUUGUUGUUUUUGUGAUUUACUUAGUUUCUAAUAUAUCUUCAGUUAAGAAAAUAGAAUGGAGUCUUCUUGUUGCCUUUAAAUUAAAUUGGUAUUUUGUUUGAUUAUGUUAUUGUGAGGCUUUGAUUGAGAUUUUGUUACUUUAUGUUGUGAAUGGAUGAGUUUAUAGAUCUAUGCCCGACAAUUGUUUGAUGAAUUGUCUAAAAGAAAAAGAAUUUGGUGCUUUGCUUCACUAAUUGUGGCCUAGAAAUUAUUACUACAUGUAGAAGUAUUUCCAAUCCGUAGUUGACUUUACAUUAAGAAAAAAUUAUCCUAAUUGUUUGGCUAAAGUAUUUUUGUGGGUGGAUUUUUGGCAAAUGUAGCUUCAGCCUUCAUAUGUAAACCAAAUAAAUAAAUAAAUAAAAUCUCGCUGGAUUGUACUUCAUUAAUGCAAUACCAAAGCACAAGAUGAAGUGUUAUUGUCUGUGAAUGGUGAUUUUUGGAAUGAAAUAGGUGGCUUGUAAAAUUUGCAAUUAUUCUUGACAACUAGUACUUUCGAUUCUGGAUUUGCAAAUUAAUAGUAAUAAACAUCAUGUAAUGGUAGAGAAAUUAAUAUUGAAAAAGGAACUUGAAAAUCAUUAAGAUGAAAUCUUAUGAAUUUACUUUAGUUCUUGACAGGAAGUAUUGAGGCAAAACAGAAUUAAAGAACAGAGCUAUUCUAGAGCCAUUAAAUUUAGAAAAGAACCAAAAAAAAAAAAAAUUAAUCACAAAAAAUUAAUAUAGUACAGUGCAACACCAAACACAGUAUAACUAAAAAUUAAUACAGUACAGUGUAGCACCAAACAUUGUACAACAUUGUUAUAAUACAGUGCUAAUGCAAUACAGCAUAAUACAAUACACCAGCAUAAAAAUAAUGCAAUACAACAUAAUAUAAUACAGUGUGCCAAACGCACCCUAAAAACACUUACAUUAGCAAUGAUUUUAUGUGAAGAGCGUGAUAAUGGAACAAAUUUAAGAGGAAUGAAUAAUUUUAUGUCAAUGAUAAUAGCAAUGAUUCUAUUAACAAAUCCAAUAGUAAUAAGGAAUUUUUAAGGGGAAAAAAUUAUUUGAUUUUGAGUGGGGGUUUAAUUAGAAAUUGUCUUAUUAUGUAAUUUUAAUAAAAGUUAAAAUUGUAAAAUAAUUAAAGGGGUGUUAAGAGGUAUUUAGAGGGGUGUCAAUAGUCCCACUCUUCCGAAAAUAGGCACGUUUUUGGGCUGUGUCAAAGGGCUUGGUGAAGGCCCCGAGGGAGUGUACUUGCUUAUUUGUUAAAAUAAGGAAAAGAACAAUAUGAAGAAAGAACGAGAGAACAACUGGUAGAACCUCGCUAAAUUAGUAGCAUUGAGACCAUGAAAAUUUUAUUAAUUUAGUGAAUAUUAAUAUAUUAAUAAAUUAAUAAUUUAUAAAAAAAUAUUGCGUUCAUAAUUAAAAUUUUUUAUGAAGUAUAGAGAUAGUAUAAUUAGAUAAUAUAGUCUUUUUUUUAAAGUAGUAUGAUAUAAUUCUCAUUUGAUCUUGAUUGAGUGAAUUAGUCAUUUGAUAAUUGAUGCAGGUAAGCAAUUGAAGAAAUCCUAAUUAGAUUAAAAUUUAUAGAGUUUAGGAAUAUUUUAGUUAAUGUGUAUUUUAUUGUCUAUUUAGAGUUUAUUAUUUAGGUAUUUCUUAUUUGAGUUGUAUUUCUAGAUUAAACAAGAGUCUUAGGUUUAGGUCACUAUAAAUAUAUAUCUUUUGUAACUUUAGAAUCAGUUGUGUUGAUUAUUAUUGAAUUUUAGUUUUAGAAUUUGCAUGAGUUUUAAUCUUCUGUUAUUUUUCAAAUUUUUAUGAAAUCAACGAGUCUUACACUUUAGAUUUGUGGGUAUUUUUAGAAUUAAUGCCAUUUCUAGUUUAUUUCACUAUUAUGGGAAUUAUUACAUUAAAUGAAGUAUUGAAAAUAUCCCUAUCCUUUUCCAUCAGUCUGUCCCCUAUUUUAGUUAUAUUCCGCUACAUCCGUUAGAACCAUUCUCCAUCAAUAAUCCCUUAGCUGGAUUGCAAGGCUAGACAAUAUAAUAAGCCAAUCUCUUUCUCUUAUUUCUCUUAACGUAGGACAUAAAAUACAAUAAUAUCACUGCAUUUGAAGGUGUAAAGAAAGCAACAAUGACGGAUAAAAUACAUAAAAAUUUAUGUCAGUAAAAAAAAAAUCGUAGACAUAUCAUAUAUAUUUAGUUUGAAAUUAGUUAUCAUUAGUUUAUGUAUUAAUUGGGUCUUAUAGAAAAAUAUUUUUUUGAAAUUUUUAUUAUCUAGUAAUGUUAAAAAUUAUUAUUUAAUGGACGUUAUCAAUUUAUUGGGUAUAAAUUUAACGAGAUUCUACAUAAUAUAACAAAAGAAUAAAUCUUAACCAUAUAGGUAUUUUGGUAAUUCUACAAAACUGAGCUGAUUACGUGGAGCUUCUGUUUGUAACAAUUAACAUAGAUCCCAAGAGAUCUCACUUACGAGUGACUUCAGAGAUCUGAAACAGAAAGGGCAACAUAGAACUCUUAUUCCCCUUUGUAAUGUUUCUUGCUCAAAUGAGUAUUCCAAAAACAGCUGAAUCUUGCACAUAUUUCAUUUAUAAGAAAAAAAGAUAUUUCUCAUAUUCCUCUUUAUAUAUAUAUAUAUAUAUAUAUAUUAUAAACAAAAAUUAUAUGCUGUUGAUGCUUCUGUUUGCUGAGAUACUCAUUUGAGCUAUAUAUAUAUAUAUAUAUAUAUAUUAAAAACAAAAAUUAUAUGCUGUUGAUGCUUCUGUUUGCUGAGAUACUCAUUUGAGCUAGAAGUAUUAUGAGUGGAAGAAAUUAAAUAAUUUUCACCUUGUUCUUCUUCAUCUUUCUUUCAACCUGAAAGGAAAAAAGGCUUCGGGUAAAUUCUUAAUCUCUCUCUUUCUUGCUAGCAAACAUGCAUAACUUUUUCUUGUUGCUCUGGUUUUUGCCUUAGUAUUUUAUUAAUUUCAUCAUUGACUAAUAACGUUUUUAUUCAUGAAAUUACUAGUGGCCAUUUUUAAAGAAAAAACUUUUUAGCUUUUCUGAUAUGAUAUACAGUUCAAUAAUUUAGUCACUUCUCUAACUUGUGAUAAUCAGAUCUGAAUUUCGUAAUUUUUAAAUUUAAUAAUUCGUCAAAAACAACAUUUUCUAUGUAUACAUUGUGAAAAUGGUUACGUUAUUUUCUAGGUUAAAGAUAUCAUUUUGAUCUGGACAAACAAAAGUCUGUUGGAUUAGUGAACAUGAUGUGUCCAUGCGAGUUCAAGAUUUCUUCUUGUAGGUUGAUUAUUGGUCAAUAGAUAAGAUUACAGAAGUAUCCUUUUAAUAUUAUAUAUUAUAGUCUUUUUAAAUGUAUAAUCAAACCAAUAUAUCAAGUUAUAAUAAUGAAUUCCUACUCCCACUAGGAAAAUUCGAAACCUCUGUUUUAAAGUUAAGGGAAGGACCGGAGGAGGUGCCAAUGCUACUAAAAAAACUUGAAUCGACCAUUUAAAAAGUAAAGAAAGAAAGUGCCAAUUAUUCUAAUUAAAGAGUUAUUGAUUAUUAUAAUAAUAUUUAAAUUUCAAUCAUAACCACAUUAAAAAAAUUGUAAAAGAACAUAUAGUGGAGAUCAAAUUAUGAGAAAAUUCUAAAUACUCUCGUCUUAUCUAAAUUUUUUCUUAUCCAAAUUGCUAACCAUGGCGAUAAGAGGACGAUUCUUUGUUGAACAACAACAAAUAUGGAUAGCAGUGCCUAUCACCAGCUUUCCAUUCUUGAUGAAUAUAAAUUUAUAAUAGCGACGACUUCUCUAUCCAUCACAUCACAACUAUAUUUGAACAGAGAAAGGGUUGAGUCGUAUAUCUUACCCACAUCUGCAAUAAUUGAAUAAUAACAAAACAUUUCAUUUCUGAUCAUUAUUAUCUAGUGGACCCUGAUUUGAUAACAGAGACUAGGCUUGGCAAAAUUCGGGUCCGGUCCGGGUUUUGGUGUUGCCCGGGACCGGACCGGAUGAGAGAAAUGCAAGCCCGGACCCGGGUUAAAACCCGGUUUUUUCGGGUGCGGUCCGGGCUUGAGCCCGGUACCUUCCGGGUCCGGGUUUUGAUCCGGGCUUUUAAAACCCGCAUGUGAUAAAUUUAAUUUUUUUUUCAAUUUUUUUCUUUAAUUUUUUUUUCAUUUCUCUAACAAUACAAAUUUUAAAAAAGAAAAUAAUCAAAUAAACUCAUUCAAUCUCAAACUUUAAAAAAGAAAAUAGUCAAAUACAAAUAUAUAACACAUUAACAAUGCAAAUUUUGCACAAAUGAUAAAUAAAAAUUAUUUCAAUCUACUUUCUAAUACCUAAAUUCAUCUAAUUUCUAACUUAAACUCAUUCAAUCUAUAUAUAAAAUAAAUAAAUUAAAUUCAACAACACAAUAAUUACACAAUAAAUUUAAAUAACAUCCAAUAUAUCAUAAAUUCAUAAUUAUAUAUUUAUAUAUAAUAUAUUUAUUUUUUUAAAUUUAUUAAAAAAUAAGGGGGGGGGGGAGAGAAAAGAAAGCUAUCAACCGCUCAUAGUGUGGUAGGACGGUCUGUCAUUACAAAAUUAAGUUAUUUUGAUCGACCACGUAUGGUGACAAAUUUAUUAUAAUAAUUAAACUAAUAAUUAUACACAACCAAAAGAUGAUAUGUAAAUAUAUCGAUAAAUUCUCUCUAAAUGUGGAGGUAUCCAACCAUUUUUUUUUUCAAAAUUUUUAUUUAAAAUUUAUGUAUAUAUAUAUAUAUAUAUUAUUUUUAUUUUAUAAUCACAAUUAUUUUCCCCACAGCAAUAUUAACUUUUAAAGCACAUUACCUUAAUAUUAAACAAGAACUUUAUUAACUAUUGAGCAAAUUUAAGCAUUUGUCAUUGGUAAAAAAGUUUUAAGGAUUUGGCUAAUUUUGAAAACAAAGAGUCUUUUAACUUUUUAUUUAAAUACUACUUUACAUAGGACAAUAAAAAUAUUAAGAAAUGUAUCAGAAGCUCACAAAAUUAGAAGACCAAUGGGAAAAAAGAAAGAAAGAAAAUAAUAUGCCCACACACAUAAAGAAAAUGUGAACCUUUAUUUUCUAAAAUAAAGUGAAGGGUGUGUUGGAGAAAAAUCAGUUGUUUUUUAAUUUUUAUAAAAACUUUUAGGACCGAUCACAUGCAAUAUAUAAGAAUUCGUAAUCUAGAAAAUCAUAACUUGAUAAUUCGACUUUUCUUUUUCGCUGAAGUAAUCUAGGCUCUCAGAUCAUGAUCCGUCACCACCACUUCUGUUAGAUCACGAUCCGUCACCACCAAUUUUGUUAGAUCACAAUCCGUCACCAAUGAUCUUUCAGGUUCUGACUCAAGUUUGAUCUGCACUUGACGUGUGGGUGCCUUUGUCACCACUAAAAGCAACUAGCAGAAGAAAAUAACUAGGGUGCUAAGCACCAAUUCUCUCUUCUUUUGGGAGAAAAAAAUUCAUUUUAUAUUUCUAUUUAGUGGAAACCUUAAACUCCAUAUUUUAAUAUUUUUUUAAUUCUAUUAAAUCAAAUUUGAUUUAAAUGAAAAAAUAAUAAAACCAAAAGUAAGGUUACUUCUUCUUGUUAUAGGGGCCCACCUUGUAAAAUAACACAAAACCCCUUACACACAUGCAUAUUUU
rnacentral:lncRNA from 1 species